CUGCAGUCAGUAACUUUUGACGCUCCAGCGGUUAAUAAACAGAACUGCUUGCGUCUUGCGGAAGAACAUCGUAGCCGGAACUACUUCUCUCUGUUUAUGUCUAUGAAGAAUCACAAAGGUACUGGGUUACUCCGCCGCGGUACCCCUGAAGCAAUCUAAAAUAGUCCGAAUAUAAACACUUAUUAUUGGUGCACCCUAGUGAUUCAGGACAAGCUAAAGACACGGUUUGGAAAAUGGAUUCAUGGUGUACUCGCUUAUUAUAUACAUUUUUCUACAUUUUGAACACAAACAAAGUUACGGACCGCAGCUCUGAUUGGUUGUUUUUUACCGGGAGCGGAUGAAUUUCUGCAAAUGGCAAUAGGACCACUGGGAGGAGCCAGAGGAGCUUGAUUUUUUUCACAGAUUAUCUGUCUCAUAUUCUACUGUCAGGACAUAAUGACAGGUUUAAUAAAUAUGUAAAAAAUAUAUUUUUACAAAAGUUACCUACUGCAGCUUUAAGCGAUGCCAACACAAACAAAUGAAAUGCUCAUAUGAUAUAAAGAAAUGUCUCAUGUAUUACAAAUUCUUGCGUUUGCCCAAAAAUACAAUUUCAGAGCCCUGAUCAGUUGACCAGCUCAUGAGAUAAAAGUUAUUUAGAACUGGUGUCCCAGUAUUUUUAACUGUCAAUAGCAAUUCUCAUGCACAUUUUUGUGGCAUUUCGAAAUUACAGUUUCAGCUGUUGCACAAAUUAAAGAUUCACACCAUUUAGCGCCUGGUGAAUAAAGGCAAAUGAGUGGGGCUCAAAGUCGUACUGUUAAACUCUUUUUUUUCCUAAAAACUCACUCCAGGCAAUCAACUGCUUAUUCAUCUGUAGCAUGUCAUCAAAUGACUAUAGAAGCAUCUCCCGUCUGCCUUUAUGGGAGCAUUAGAUGCAAAGGGAUUUGUGUCUUUGGGACUUUUCUCAUGUGUAAAUGGUAAAACGAACUCUUAACAGCUGAUGGACUGUGAACAAGCAUGUUUCUCAUCACAUGAUCGUUUUUUAUAUAUAUCAUCUUGGCAAGCGUGUGUUUUUUUUUUCUUUGUUUGAAAGCGAGGUUAAAUAUAAAUGUGUCAUAGCCUGUUUUCCCAUGCAUCCUUGCUGCAUUGUAUUCCUUCCUCUCAUGUCUUCUGCCUCUUUUUUUUUGUUGUUGUUUUUGUUUGUUUAAAGGAUGUUAUCUUGUAUCUCAAUGUCCGUAGACACUUUUAAGCUGCAGACUGUUUCUGCACAUGUCAGCAUCUUUGAAUGCAUGUAGUAAUCUGUACAAUUAUGUGAUCACAGAACACUUUGUCAUGGUACAUGUACGUCAACAUUUCUGUAAAAUAAACCACAUUGUCUAUGAUAAGUCUACUAGCAUAUGCAGGAUAGCAAAUAAAUGUGUAAAUAACCCACUUGUGUUCUGCA